GGAGGUGGGAUGAGCUCCAGAAGGGUUUGGCUGCUGUAGGGGGGGCUGUGGUGCUCCCCCAUGAGUGUGGACAUCUGUGGGGCUGCAGCAGGAGCUUGUUGGGGCUGGGCUGCUCACUUUGCCCAGAAGUCUCCAAAAUAAGGAGCUGUGAGGAGUUCAGAGCAGACCUUCCUGCAAGGAAGGAAGUUCCCUCCAUGUUCCCUCUCCUGGUUCCCUCCAUGGAGAGAUGCACCAAACAUAUCAGAACAUACUCUAAAAGUAAAUGCUCUAGAACUAAAACAGAUCCCACUAUGAUGCCUGUAUCCUUAAUCCUGAAGGAUUUUGAGGAGUUCUCUAGGAUGCUGGUUGUGCUGUCUAUUCCUGUUGCCUUCCUUUGCAACAUUCAGUGGAUUUUGUGGUAUCUUUCAGGAGCAGAAAAUCAUUGGAGAUGAUUUCACUAUUUCAGAGCUGUCAUGACUGAAGGUCUGGACUUUGGAGAAGGCUGAUGAACCUAAUAAAACCUCUAUGAAAAAUUCA
rnacentral:lncRNA from 1 species